UACGAAGGGUGCAAGCGUUACUCGGAAUUACUGGGCGUAAAGGGUGCGUAGGUGGUUUUUUAAGUCCGUUGUGAAAUCCCUGGGCUCAACCUGGGAAUGGCAGUGGAUACUGGAAAGCUAGAGUGCGGUAGAGGGUAGUGGAAUUCCCGGUGUAGCAGUGAAAUGCGUAGAGAUGCGGAGGAACACCAGUGGCGAAAGCGACUUUCUGGUCCUUAACUGACGCUGAGGCGCGAAAGCAUGGGGAGCGAACGGG
rnacentral:rRNA from 1 species